ACGCUGGCGGCACGCCUUAUACAUGCAAGUCGAACGGAGUAGCAAUACUUAGUGGCAGACGGGUGAGUAAUAUGUAGGAAUCUUCCCUUUGGUGAGGAAUAACACGAGGAAACUUGUGCUAAUACCUCAUAAGUCUUUACAGAGAAAGCUUUAUGCGCCGAAGGAUGAGCCUGCACUUGAUUAGUUUGUUGGUGGGGUAAUGGCCUACCAAGACAAUGAUCAAUAGCUGAUUUGAGAGGAUGAUCAGCCACAUUGGGACUGAGACACGGCCCAAACUCCUACGGGAGGCAGCAGUAGGGAAUCUUGCACAAUGGAGGAAACUCUGAUGCAGCGAUGCCGCGUGAGUGAAGAAGGCCUUUGGGUUGUAAAGCUCUUUCGUCGGGGAAGAAAAUGACUGUACCCGAAUAAGAAGGUCCGGCUAACUUCGUGCCAGCAGCCGCGGUAAUACGAAGGGACCUAGCGUAGUUCGGAAUUACUGGGCUUAAAGAGUUCGUAGGUGGUUAAAAAAGUUGGUGGUGAAAUCCCAGAGCUUAACUCUGGAACUGCCAUCAAAACUUUUUAGCUAGAGUUUGAUAGAGGAAAGCAGAAUUUCUAGUGUAGAGGUGAAAUUCGUAGAUAUUAGAAAGAAUACCGAUUGCGAAGGCAGCUUUCUGGAUCAUUACUGACACUGAGGAACGAAAGCAUGGGUAGCGAAGAGGAUUAGAUACCCUCGUAGUCCAUGCCGUAAACGAUGUGUGUUAGACGUUGGAAAUUUAUUUUCAGUGUCGCAGCGAAAGCAUUAAACACACCGCCUGGGGAGUACGACCGC
rnacentral:rRNA from 1 species